rnacentral:lncRNA from 1 species
CAAAGUAUCUGGGCCGCUAAAGGCCUUCUGUAAAUAGGUUGUGGUUGGAAAGUGGGCAAUGGGCUCUCAAUCUCGGUCUGGGAUGAUGUUUGGCUUCCUAGGUAAACGCCCUGCAAGAUUUAAAUUGAUCGUGUUAAUGGGAUUGAAAAGGUGGUCGAUUUAAUUGAUAUGGAUCGAUGAAAGUGGAAGGGUGAGUUAGUAAGGGCUUUAUUUCCUGACCUGAUCGUGCGUUGCAUACUAAGUAUCUCGUUAACCGUUCAUGAUUUGGCAGAUCAUUGGUGAUGGUUCUUGGAGGACAAUAGGGAGUAAUUGGUCCGGAGCGAAUGUAAGUUGCUGUUACGAGGCUUCUCAAAGACAGAUGAUUAUUACAGAAAUAUAACACAAACCACGAGACUUAUUUACAAACAAAUAUAGGGGGCUCAAGUGCCCGAGAAAAUGAAAAUUACAUGCUAGUGUCAAAUAAGCAGUUUUCUCCCUAUAAAGGUUAAUUUAUUUCAGCGUAUACUCAGGUUAGAUCAAAUGUGCCCUCGCUAUGGUUGUGGUCCUGAAACCAUUCUUCAUGUCUGUUCGGAUUGUCCUAGUGUCUUGCAAAUUUGACACACAAUCUAGGCAUCAAUUGGGAUAAUAUUCCAGAUUCUGAAGAUACACAUAUCCACUGGGUUGGGCAACUAUCUGCUAAACAUAUGAGACAAGUGCAGCUUUUUAUUAUUACUGUAUGGACUAUUUAGACCUCCAGAAAUAAAAUCACCUAUGAGGGAUUUUAUCAAUCGGUUCGGUCUCUACUUAUCUUUGUAUUAGGCUAUCUGCGUGACUUGGAAUCUCUUCCAUCGGGCUCUGGAAACAUCGCGGCCACUGAGUCACUACUUUGGAGGCCUCCUGUUGAUCCUUGGGUCUGCGUCAAUUUUUGUGACGAGUUCUUUGAUAACCUGUAGGUUGCCAACACGGGAGUUGCUGUUAAAAAUUCUGAAGGGUUGCUAAUGGGGUUGGCUUAUUUUGAGUAGGAAGAUGUACCUUGCUUGUUGACAACCGAGGCCCUGGCAUGCAUGCGAGCUCUUGGAUUUGCCCGGGAUCUGGGGUUUCGGUGUGUUGAACUUAAAGGCGACUCAGUAGUGCUUAUCUCCAAGCUAAACAGCUAUGAUAUAGACAGAUAAAAAGUGAGCACCCUUGUCUAGGAUGCGAAACGACUUGUAAUGGUUUUUGAACGAUUCAAGUUUCAACACAUUAAAAGAUGAGGUAAUAUGGUGGCUCACCUAUUGGCCCGUUAAAGCUUUAUACGAAGGAGGGAUGUUUGUUGGGUGGUGGAAGGACCAACAUCGAUUUUGGUAGUGGUGGACAUAUAUAGGUGGGGAGGGGCUGAGUUUGUCGGAAAUUUCAGGAAUCGGGGGUGCUUGCUAGAUUUGAAUCCAUACUAGCAGUUUUUGAUGUGGCUUCAACUGUGAGCGUUGAUCAGUGGCAGGUUCACACGGCGUUGGAGCUUUUCUGGACAUGCAUCUCUAGCUAUGGAAGAUGAAUGGGUUUCUUCAGCUCUUUCUGCUUUGGUUUUUUCUUUUCUUUUUUAGUUUUGUUUUUCUUUGCUUCGUGGGAUAUGUUGCACAUUUUUUGGUGGAGUCCCCAAAGUUGUUGCUUUACUAUUUUGGCUAUUUCUAAUAAAUGCAUGCCGGUUCAUAUUGAAA